GAAGGACACAGCUUUUAACAUCAGAUUCGAAUCCUACAAUUUGGAACCCAUGGGCACUUCUAGAUUGGAUCUUGCAGAGAUUUUUUACAACAGAAAUAAUGGAAAGGCAAAAGAAAACAUUGAGUAAUAACCAACCCAAGCAAGUCCAGCCUCUUUCUGCAGAAGAUCUCCGUGGGUCUUUUUAUCCUUAAGAAGUUUUGGAGGCAAGGAAGAGCAGAAAUCACUCUCCGCAUUGGAUAGAUGAAGAAAGGAGCCUCAGAGAAGAGAUUCAGAGGUUCUCCUAAGGCCACUAACUAAUAAAUGAUGACAUGAGAGUAAACUGAAGACUUGCAGUGCCAGGGUUGGUGUGGUCCUCCCUGAUGGGGGCCUUGACCUGUGAGGCCAAGGACAACAAAGGAACAGCUGUCUCCUUGCCAUGGAAGUGGCCCAGUAACCAGAAGGACUCAACUGUCAGGGCUGCAAGAACUUCCCAAGGACCCAGCUCUCUGCUGGAGCUGCAAUCAAGAAAUUGAAACACC
rnacentral:lncRNA from 10 species